AUAACACCUGCAGAGGAGCCUGACGUAAGACAUUACGGGGUAGAAAAACUCAAUUGAAAGCAGUUAUAUUUAUAUGCGCGCGAGACGAGCGCGGGUUUUAUAGAGCGGAAUAAGUAGAAACGCCAGUGAGGAAUCAAUCUUUCGGACUAAUUGGAAAUAGCUUCGGAAAAUUGCGAUUCUCAGCGAGGCACUCACGUCUCGUAAUGCUGUCCCAAGUGAAAAACGACGGAUCUGGCCAGACGUGCUGAUUGACGGCCGCUUUAAGUACAGCAAUUAAAGAGUCCGCGAAAUUACUUUACUAAACAUACGCUUUAUUUAUUGUCACAGCUGCGCGGGACAGAUGCAUUACUCUCAUACGUUUUCUCUGCAACAAUUGAAAUAAAAAUAUAUAAACAAUCGAUCGAUAUCAUUCGUUGACGGAUUUAGCAGCCUUGUCAACAAAGUUCGCCAGCUUAACAUCUCGCGAGGAUAAACCGUUGACGUCGUGGGACGAUAACGUGAUGUUGACUUUGUUGUAGACGUUGAACCAUUCCGGGUGGUGGUCCAUCUUCUCGGCCUGCAUCGCGACUCGCGUCAUGAAUCCAAAGGCCUGUGAAAGUCGUUGAAGGUAAAAAAUCAGUGUCUCUCUUAUCUUUCAAUUGCGAUGGAGAUUUAAUUCAAGCUCGUACCUGGUUAAAAUUCUUGAAAGCGAAUUCCUUGUACAGGGCAUCCCUGUUGGUUUGGACGGUCCAGCCAUUCGUCAACAGAGGACUGAUGUCCUUCUCUCUUUCUUCGGCGGUUAGUUUAGGCUGAAAUUAAUAGCGAACGAUUGAUGAGAACGCGGAUAAGUAUAUGCAGUAGGCGUGUCGCUAACAGAUUAUGCGCAACAAGCAACUAAGUACUCGUGCGUCACAUUUUACUCUAGUGAUUUACAGUAAUACUGCUACUUGGCCUCCAUUUGUAAUUCAAAUCAUAUUCAAGGUCAGGAUGUAGUUCCGUCACUGCGGAAACACAUCAGCCUUUCAAGAAACGAGUUUAUUCGUAUACGCGGAUAUAAAUACGAGAUGCAAGUGGAAACUUUUACAAAAUCUCGGACGACUUUUAUCACACAUACACACGCGCCUUUCACUUUUUGCCUUCUUGCGAAAUAUUGAUUGUGCCGAUGAAGUAAAUAAGUGAGCGCGACCACUUGUUGAAAUUCCGACGCUAGAUCUUCGGGUAUAAAGCUCUACUACCUUUACCUAUACGAAAUAUAACAAUUGAAUCGCACAGGCGAAUGGAAGCAAAGAAUCUACGUGUUGAAUUUCAGUCAGUAAUUGGCUUUCUCCGAGUAAAUAAUUAGGACACUUACCAUUUUCUGUUUCUUCGAUGCGAGAGUCGCCUGCUGUCGUUCGAGCGUCUGGAACACUUCUACCGGUUUUCGAGAUGGAACGCUGUUUUUGAACUUUUUAACGACUAACGAAAUGCCAACUGGGAAUUAUUAGAUAACUUGGAAGAGGGUUCGAUGAAAUGGCAAAAACAGAUUGCAAAGACAGGCGGAACACGAAUUUUGUCUGUCAAACUUGAGAUUUCCCGGGAGCGGGAAUAGCACGCGUAUCACAGUUGGAUAGUUCGAAAAUGACUGAAGACAAAGAGUUGUACAAAACGAGUCUUAAUCUUUUAUUAAAAAUACACAUAAUUUAUAAACUUUAAAAUUUGUUUAA
rnacentral:lncRNA from 1 species